rnacentral:rRNA from 1 species
UACAGAGGGGGCAAGCGUUGUUCGGAAUUACUGGGCGUAAAGGGCGCGUAGGCGGCCUGUUAAGUCGGACGUGAAAUCCCUCGGCUUAACCGGGGAACUGCGUCUGAUACUGGAUGGCUUGAGUUUGGGAGAGGGAUGCGGAAUUCCAGGUGUAGCGGUGAAAUGCGUAGAUAUCUGGAGGAACACCGGUGGCGAAGGCGGCAUCCUGGACCAACACUGACGCUGAGUGAGCGAAAGCCAGGGGAGCAAAGCGGG